rnacentral:rRNA from 1 species
AGCGAACGCUGGCGGCAGGCUUAACACAUGCAAGUCGAGCGAGCAUCCUUGUGGUGUCAGCGGCAGACGGGUGAGGAACGCGUGGGAACGUGCCCUUCGGUUCGGAAUAACUCAGGGAAACUUAAUCUAAUACCGGAUACGUGCGAGAGCAGAAAGGUUUAUCUGCCGAAGGAUCGACCGGCGUCUGUUUAGCUAGGUGGUGUGGUUAUGGCUCACCAAGGCGACGAUCAGUAGCUGGUCUGAGAGGCUGGUCAGCCACACUGGGACUGAGACACGGCCCGGACUCUUCCGGGAUGCGGCAGUGGGGAAUAUUGGACCAUGGGGGCAGCCCUGAUCCACCCAUGCCGCGUGAGUGAUGACGGCCUUAGAGUUGUAAAGCUCUUUUCUCCGGGACGAUAAUGACGGUACCGGAUGAAUAAGCCCCGGCUAACUUCGUG